CACUGCUGUGCGCCUUCAAGUCCGGCUGGAGAUUCCUUUUAGACUACGACGCAGUUCAUGCGGUUGUCGUGCAGUUGGUGUACAACAUGGAGAAGAGGUUCCAGGAGAUUUUCAAUUUUAUGUCUAGGGGUGAAUUCCCUAAUUUAUAGUGAAUCUCAGAAAUGUGCUUUAAGAAGAUAUAUGCAGAAGCUCAAACUGAAGGUCCCAAACAGAAGCACGAUCACUGUUUAAUGAAGUACACUCGGCUUCAAUUGGUGCACACACAGGCACUGUUAAAACCAGAUCCUCAAUGUACUCCAGAAAUUAUUGGGAUGGCAUGACGGUGGACAUUGACUGAUGGGUCUCUGAAUGCGACGGAUGUCAGAGGACUGGUAACUCUUUGGCUGUGUGUGACACAGCCAUUACAAAGCAUUAAGGUGUCUGCUGUUUGGGAGUUGGUUGGGAUAGACCUGACUGGGCCUCUCCCAAAAACCAAGGAUGGCUUUCAGUACAUUCUCACUGCCACCGAUUAUUUUUCCAAGUGGGUUGAGGCCUUUCCUUUAAAAACCAAAACAGCAUCAGAAGUGGCAUAACGGAUCUGCUCAAUUGUUUAUAGACACAGAUGCCCCCAAAGAAUCCUGUCCAACCAAGGAAGAGAAUUUGUCAAUUAGCUCAACGAUAACCUUUGUGCCCUCCUGUGCAUUGAAAGGAGUGUUACAGCUGCAUAUCAUCCUAAGACGAAUGGGCUGGAUGAGAGGACAAAUAGCAACAUAAAACGGCAAGUUUUUGUUGUUGUUGGUGUUCUAAAAUGUAUAUCUAAUUGUACCCUUCUACUUCGUACAGCUCUUACAAAAUUGGUGAACGACCGACAGGAUUUGUUUGGUGGUUUGGCCUAUUCAGUAGAUAAUUUUGACCGGAUGGUCAUCUGGUCAAGUGCCGUAAAUAAUAACUUUUUUUGAUUUAACAAUGUUGUGUUUUCAGUUAAAUUACUGUGGGCUGCAGAGGACCAAGGCAAGGUGGAGGCUGUCGUUGGACCGUAUAAAUUAUAUGACAUGUCUUUUCAUACGCUAAAAGGCAACGGCUGGCUGUCUGAUGAAGUCAGUGGGAGCAAUAAGUGUUUAGCAAAUAACAAAGAUUCUUGCCUUUUGCCAAUUUUUUUAUUUUGCUAUGCAAGUAUUUGAUGCAUACAUGCAUAUCCUCAUUGAAAGGCAGCAGCCAAGUGCUGGAUAUAGUUUUUUCUCAAUGCAUUUAUUUUUUGCCGGAGUAUAGUUGUAAUGUUGUUACCCCUUUUUUUAACAGGAGCCCAUUCACCAACUCUCUGCUGUGGUAGCUGGGAGUCUGCUUUUGGGAAAAUUUCAGCCUGUUAGAAAGAGGAAAUUCCCUGUUGAAAAAAAAGUGUAUUUGUCCUGUCCUGUCCUGUAUGCGCUCAUUGGAUUUUAGUGAGAACACUGGUGAUCAACGAUCCCUUGAGUAACGAGGACAAAUAUGAGCAAAAUUUUGCGGAAUUGGAGGAACUUCUUGAGGUUGGCGGGCCGUGAGUUCCAAAUAGAAACUUGGACUACCAAAACUGUGGCCCAUAACAAGCAGCAGAACAACAGUAGCUGUGGGGUUUUCACAUUAAAGUUUGCGGAAGAGUAUAUGGCCAAUGGAGAUCUCAGGCACAACCAGACCCACCUUCCCGAAGUUCUGAAGGCUCGAGGAGAUCUAGCCUGUGCCCUCCUACAGGCUGGGAGUCUGAGAUGUCUAUUUAAAUUUAAAAAAAUGUCUCAAAACUUACUUGGUCUCCUCACCUCACAUAAUUGAACUCCUGAUUGCUCUCAAUGUCACUAUUUACUUUCAAAGGCAUCCAAAGAACAGAUCUGAGGAUUUGCUGCUGCGCUUUAUCCUCUCUUGCCAUCAUUGAUCACUUAUUAGGUUUGUCGCGAUAAAAAAAGUGUUUAAAAAGGUAGUAAAAUUCAUGUGGCAGGUCUUAACCCCUUAAUGCCUGCAAUAUGAAGCAAUUGUCAGAGAAUCACAAAAUGUGAAAAAUAAGGUCUUAAACCUUUUUUUUUCCAAAUUUGUAAAGAAAAAUGUGUAAUAAGCGCUCUAAUAUCUAUUUUCCUUGUUAAAUCCUGUUUUUCUCAUGGAACAUGCAGAUGCAUGAGUUGACUUGCAUCCAUUUUUUUUUUUUUUUUUUUUUUUGAGGAAAGAGUUCUAAAUCCUAAGUGUAUCAAAUGUGAUUCAUUUGGCAAGAAAGGGUUAAGCUCUGUUGCUCCAAGUCUUUCAAAAAAUAUAUUUUUUUAUAUCCGUAAUAGACUACCAUCCUUUAAAUACUGUCACUGUAGGUAGCAUUUUUAACAGGCUUAUAAUGUCUAUUUUUUUCCUUUUAAAAUGGUCUUAAAUUGGUUUAAGCAUAGACAUCACAAUCAUACAUUAAGAAGUCUGGUUUAAGUCUGAAUUUUCCCAAGUAUGACUUUCAAAUAGGCUUGAAAUGGAGAAAGUAGUCUUAAAAAGACUUAUUUAUGCCACAUAUAGUACAGUAUUAGACAUCUAAUCUUGCUCUCAUCAUCCCUCUGCUGAGCGGUUCAAUGAGUUUUUCACCAGUUGACAUCCAAUCCAUUUGAAGUGCAUGGGAGGUCCUCCCACUCAAAAUGGAUGGGACGUCUUCAGCUGUCAAUGACAGAGAAAGGCAAAACCGUUAAACGUAUGCUACACGUACGCUACAUUUGUUCGACGGGACACCUUGCAUCGAUAAAAAUCAAUCGAUCAAAAACGGGGAUCCUACUUUUACAAAAGCUCCCCAUUUGUCACUUGUCACUCAGUACACCGGACUUGCAGGCGCACAGCAGUGACGUGAUGAAACAGCCCAGCCCUUGUGAUUGGCUGUUUAAGAAGAAGACGUCUGAUUGGCUGAAGACGGGCUCCAGUUAAAAAAAAUGCAUGUGUUCUUCUCAGUUGCGCAUGACGAGUAUCAAAACGAUCAACACAUUCGUAAGUGGGAAUUUGUAAUUGGAAGCACGUUACAAAUGCGCGUAAAACAAUUCACACACACAUUUGGUGAAUGUGUGUGUGUUUCGCGUGCUAUGUGUUUACGAAUCCCACAAUUGCGUGUGGUUCGCGUGCUAUGUGUGUACGAAUCCCACAAUGUGUGUGUGUUUCGCGUGCUAUGUGUUUACGAAUCCCACAAUGUAUGUACGAGUACU